rnacentral:piRNA from 1 species
UUUAAAUGUAUGCGUUGCAA